rnacentral:rRNA from 1 species
UACGAAGGGAGCUAGCGUUGUUCGGAAUCACUGGGCGUAAAGCGCACGUAGGCGGAUGUGUCAGUCAGGGGUGAAAUCCCGGGGCUCAACCUCGGAACUGCCUUUGAUACAGCACGUCUCGAGUCCGGAAGAGGUGGGUGGAAUUCCUAGUGUAGAGGUGAAAUUCGUAGAUAUUAGGAAGAACACCAGUGGCGAAGGCGACUACCUGGCCUGUUCUUGACGCUGAGGCGCGAAAGCUAGGGGAGCAAACGGG